rnacentral:rRNA from 1 species
AGUGAACGCUGGCGGUAGGCCUAACACAUGCAAGUCGAACGGCAGCACAGUAAGAGCUUGCUCUUACGGGUGGCGAGUGGCGGACGGGUGAGGAAUACAUCGGAAUCUACUUUUUCGUGGGGGAUAACGUAGGGAAACUUACGCUAAUACCGCAUACGACCUACGGGUGAAAGCAGGGGAUCUUCGGACCUUGCGCGAUUGAAUGAGCCGAUGUCGGAUUAGCUAGUUGGCGGGGUAAAGGCCCACCAAGGCGACGAUCCGUAGCUGGUCUGAGAGGAUGAUCAGCCACACUGGAACUGAGACACGGUCCAGACUCCUACGGGAGGCAGCAGUAGGGAAUAUUGGACAAAGGGCGCAAGCCUGAUCCAGCCAUACCGCGUGGGUGAAGAAGGCCUUCGGGUUGUAAAGCCCUUUUGUUGGGAAAGAAAAGCAGCAGGUUAAUACCCCGCUGUUCUGACGGUACCCAAAGAAUAAGCACCGGCUAACUUCGUG